rnacentral:rRNA from 1 species
UUGAACGCUGGCGGCAUGCUUUACACAUGCAAGUCGAACGGCAGCGGGGGCUUCGGCCUGCCGGCGAGUGGCGAACGGGUGAGUAAUGCAUCGGAACGUGCCCAGUCAUGGGGGAUAACUACGCGAAAGCGUAGCUAAUACCGCAUACGCCCUGAGGGGGAAAGCGGGGGAUCGCAAGACCUCGCGUGAUUGGAGCGGCCGAUGUCGGAUUAGCUAGUUGGUGGGGUAAAGGCCUACCAAGGCGACGAUCCGUAGCGGGUCUGAGAGGAUGAUCCGCCACACUGGGACUGAGACACGGCCCAGACUCCUACGGGAGGCAGCAGUGGGGAAUUUUGGACAAUGGGGGCAACCCUGAUCCAGCCAUGCCGCGUGAGUGAAGAAGGCCUUCGGGUUGUAAAACUCUUUCGGCAGGAACGAAACGGUGAGCUCUAACAUAGCUUGCUAAUGACGGUACCUGAAGAAGAAGCACCGGCUAACUACGU